UACACACAGAGUUUAUAGCAUGUUUUAAACAGUCUUUCUUUAUAUCGCACUUGUUUUAAAUUGCCUUAUAUUGAAAGAAGUCAGUCAGGUUGAGUUGAGUUGAGCCAGGUAAGCUAUUCAGUUUCUUCCAGAUCUCCAGAUCUCCUGCUAACCUUUGUUGCUUAGUUCCAGCUCGCAUACUCGUACAUUCCAUGUACUGAUGCCAGUUGGCCUGCAUCUUAUUAUGAUGCAGAUACAGGUACCCCGGAUCAGCAUCCUGCACGUCGUUGAUCCAGCUGAGCACUCCAGAGUCUGUGGUGAGCCUCCUUGCAUUCCGG
rnacentral:lncRNA from 1 species